rnacentral:rRNA from 1 species
UACGUAGGGGGCAAGCGUUGUCCGGAAUUAUUGGGCGUAAAGAGCGUGUAGGCGGCCAGAUAAGUCCGCUGUGAAAUCUCGAGGCUCAACUUCGAGCUGUCGGUGGAAACUAUCUGGCUAGAGUCCGGAAGAGGAGAAUGGAAUUCCUGGUGUAGCGGUGAAAUGCGCAGAUAUCAGGAAGAACACCCGUGGCGAAGGCGGUCCUCUGGGCAUUACCUGACGCUGAGGAGCGAAAGUGUGGGGAGCGAACAGG